rnacentral:rRNA from 1 species
AACGAACGCUGGCGGCAUGCCUAACACAUGCAAGUCGAACGAGACCUUCGGGUCUAGUGGCGCACGGGUGCGUAACGCGUGGGAACCUGCCCUUAGGUUCGGAAUAACUCCCCGAAAGGGGUGCUAAUACCGGAUAAUGUCUUCGGACCAAAGAUUUAUCGCCUUUGGAUGGGCCCGCGUUGGAUUAGCUAGUUGGUAGGGUAAAAGCCUACCAAGGCGACGAUCCAUAGCUGGUCUGAGAGGAUGAUCAGCCACACUGGGACUGAGACACGGCCCAGACUCCUACGGGGGGCAGCAGGGGGGAAUAUUGGAAAAGGGGCGAAAGCCUGAUCCAGCAAUGCCGGGGGGGUGAUGAAGGCCUUGGGGUUGUAAAGCUUUUUUCCCCGGGAUGAUAAUGACAGUACCGGGAGAAUAAGCCCCGGCUAACUCCGU